rnacentral:pre_miRNA from 1 species
UAAAUACUCCCUCUGUCCCAAAAUUCUUGUCUUAGAUUUGUCUAAAUACGGAUGUAUCUAGUUACAUUUUAGUAUUAGAUACAUCCGUAUCUAGACAAAUCUAAGACAAGAAUUUUGGGACGGAGGGAGUAUAAG